rnacentral:lncRNA from 1 species
AAAGACUGGCGUUUACCUUUAAACCAAGCAAUUUGGAAAUUGAAGAAUCAUCCUUGGCACCUGUUUGGAAUCUGUUAUGCCAUCAUGUGACCAGCAGUGACGUGCACUGCAAACACAAACACUGAUUUACGCUUCACUUAUUAGAGCGGAUGCAAGGUCUUUCCAAGGACAGAAGAAAUUUGCCUUUAAACAGAUUCGGAGAGCACAGAGAGAAAGCAAAGCCCUUAUGGAGAAGUCCAUGGAUCGAGUUAGGGAACUCGGAAGAGAAAGAAAACAAAAUGUGAACUCUGCCUGGAGAGGAAGAUAGACCUCGCCAGGGAGGAGCCACUGCUCCUAACUGGCAGGGCACAAGGAAUGGAGAUGGCAUUUGCAAGAGAUGGAGGUCAGCUGGUGUAAGGGUGAGAAACCAUUUCCUGAAGUGUCCCAGGAAGAAGCUGAAUGACCAGGCAGGAGCUGGGCUCUCUCCAGAAGGGGCGUGGAGGGGAGUAAUAAGCAUUUCCUGAGGACUCAAUAUUUUCCAGGCACAUCUGGAUAAAGGCAGAAACAAAGUAACAAGGGAGGAAGUCCCAGUAAUCACAAGAAACCAAUCUUUUUUCUCCCAAACACAUAUUUUGGGGCUGACAUCAUAGCCACAUGGCACAAACUACAGAUGGAAAAGUAUCUGAACUCAAAUCCGGAAACUUAACCUUUAUCAGAUGAAGACAAGAAAGACUUCAGCAGGCAAACUCACACCUGUUGGGCUGAGGAGCUAGAAAUCAACAACCAAAUACCAACAUUACUGCUCUGGAAAUAACUUCUGUUAGAACAAUAAAGUAAGAUGAGGGCAAAUGACUGAGCUUCCCUUGAUGCUUUUCCCUGAUGCUAUUUUAUUCUGCAGAAAAUAUCCAACAUACGAUGACACCUGAAAAGAAUGAGUCCUAGCAUCUCUGUGUUUCCACACCAGCAGCUCACUCUGACUCUGGCUGCCUUCUAGGUCUAGCCACUGCCUUAAAGUACUAGCCCACCACCUGGUGUCACCAGCCCAACACCAGCUCAGUCUCCUGACACCAGCCCUUCCCUAAAAAAUGCUGCAGGACCCCCCCUCAGCAAUGCAUGAGAGCCGAUCUCUCAGGUCUUGAUCUAUGGGAAACUGUGACAGGCUCCAGAAUUAUAAACAGAAGGUGUGUUGUGUCUUCCUGGAUCUCGUCAUCUGAUUGCUAUUUAGAAUGGCUUGACUGUGUUAGUCAGACCUAUGAGUUCAUCCAACAACAAGCGGGCACAGUGACCAGCCGGGCUCAGCCCAGGGACAGAAAGCAAACACUCCCUCGUCUGUGAUUUCAGCCUUAUGCAGACCAAAUAGAGGCCAAAGUAAUGAUUAUCACACAGGGAAGCCAGCUGGAGAAUCUUUUGAGUUUCUAUGAAAACAUCGUCUCCCCUUCACUUUUAUUGCUUGCUUUUUCUUCUCUCUUUCUUUAUAGUUUCCUUUCCUGUCCAGUUUGCUUCUAUCUCUUUUCCUGACUCAUUUUUAUUUUACGUGUAUCUUAUCUUUCUGAAAACUUUUAGAAUUAAAAUCUAAUAUCCUCCCUGCCCAAUUAUUUUAACUGCUCUGGGUUCUUUCUGCACAAAAUAUUGCCUUACAAGCUAGGAUGGUAAUAGAAUUGUUUUACAAAGGUAUGUCUUACUUUGCAUAUCAUUACAAAGAUUUCCACAUUUUCAGGAGGCCCUGCCUGUAUUAUAUGUUAUCUAAGAUACAGCCAGUUUAUUCAUGCACCAAAUUAAAAUUAUGUUCAUAGAUGAUUAAAGCCAGAAGUCAUCUCUCGAAGAUUACCAAAUCCAAUUCCUUAAUUUUACAGAUGAGAAAACUGUGGCCUAGAGAGUUCAAGUGACUUGCUCCAAAUCCUGAUCUAAUAUUCAGUGUGCUUUGGGGCCAAACAUACCAGACAGAUAAAACUACAACAGCAUGAAAAAUUGUGUGCACCCUAUAAUUUCUUAAGAAACCAAUUUUGGUCACUGGAUGUUAACCACCUGAAUGAAGUCCAGUGAAUACGUCAAUCACACACCAUAGCCUAUUGUAACUGCCAGGGAUUCCAUUUCGCAUGUGCUUGCACUUGAGCUGGAUAAUGAACUGCUCCUGCAGAGGUUCCUACCUGGGAGAAAAGUAUUGAUUGAUUCUCUCACACUCAGGAUUCUGGAGCAAAUCUAAAGCCAUGCUUUUGAACAUAGAACUUGAACUGCUGCAGAGUUUUGCCUGAAAUGAAGAGUAGUGGCCAGCCCCUCUGAAGGAGAAAUAAAUGGGAAAUUGGGUAAGAUUUUGAGUGGGAGAUGUUUAAACUUUUAUUUAUUUUAGGGAGUGGGGACUUUAAAAGAUAAGCAUCUGGGGUUCUCAGGAUGCCAGAGUGUGUCACAGGGUGCAUGUCCCAACAUAGGAAAAGCUACCAGUUCUUUCUGGAGGGAGCUCAGUGAAUUGUACCAUGCUGCUGGGGUAAUCCCAAAGCGGAGAAAUGCUUGGAAGCAUGGUCACCAUAUGCCUACUAUGGGUCUAUGCUGGAUGUUAUUUGGGUCCUUUAAUACAAUGAUGCAAAAGGAAAGCUCAGAGUCUCUAAAAAACAACACAUCCUAGGGAAACAUGAGCCUAACGAAAUAUGACUCCUUCAUCAAUCCCAUGCACAGGCUCUUGGGGCUGGGAGCAUCUCUGGUUCACAUCUUACCUCAAAGACUGUGCCUGCAAAAGGGAUUUGUUUCCUAUACUUCAUUUGCAAAGGGCAUAGUAAUAAUGAGAAAUUAAGUAAUAGGAAAAAUACAAUGAAAGGAAUAAAUGCUGAAAAGUUUAACUUCAUUAGGUCAAAUUGAGAAAUGCAUAUUUUGCCAAGAAAUCUUCCAUUCCUUUCCCUGGAAUUUCAUGCGGUAGUCUCUAAUUUUUAUACAUUGUUAUUCUGUUUCUAAUUUCUUAACAUAAGUAUUCAGUCUCUUUGGUAACUUUUCAUUCUGAUAGAAUUUUAAAAGAUGCAAGAAUGAGCUCCUGAAUUCUUUUUACCCAGAUUUAUUAUGUAUUUGUAUUCUGCUCCCAUUACUUUAUCAUUUCUCUCUCUCUCUCCCCCCCCCCCCACACACACAUGCACAGACACACAAAUAUUCACACUUAUUAUCUCAGCCAAUUCAGAGUACUUUGGAGACAUUAUAUUUCUUUACCGUCUGAAAACUUCAGUGUAUUGUUCCUAAGGGAAGAAAAAACGUUCUUUUAACAAAACCACAGUACAAUUACCAACAUUAGAAGAUUUAAUAUUGACACAAUAUUCUUAUCUAGUCACUACUUUUAAUAAGGAAGGUAUUUAAGUCACUACCCUUUAUUCUAAAUAUAGCUCUCAUUGUGUGCCACAGGUUUGCGGAUGAUGUAUUCUCAUUGUGUUUUAGCUAUUAGCACUGUUUUGCAAUGGAGUCAAUAAAACCGAGUAUGCAAUGCUGUUUUGUUACCUGUUGCUGCACUGAUUGCUUCAUAGUUUAUUAAGAAGCCUUCAUAAGCGAGGUCGGAGUCAGUCACAAACACCAGCAUCAAUGAGUUACCACUGCUUGUGAGAGAUGGCGGGAUCGACUUUCCACAGUAUCUAUUCCAAACCAAGAAAGGACAGAUGUGUGUAUUUUAGUUUGGUAUACUGAAAAUGAUGUAACAAAAAUUUGGACAUGUAAAUAUAAUAAUAGGUUUUGUUCUCUACCUCUCAUCAACCUUAAAACACAAAUAUAUUUCAGGCAAAAAAGAUUUGCAAACUUAC